UAAGCUGUCUUACAUUGCAGAUGAAACAAGAGAAAACAAUACUGCUUGAAUAAAAGCGAAGGGUGGUGGUUAACACACCAAUUAACCUGAAUAAAAAAAGGAGACAAACAGCAGCCUACUGGUGCACAGAUGUAAGUAAUACAAAGCUGAAGCAAAAAUAGAAAGAAAAAAGGAGGACUUUGCACAGUGAUGUUACACCAAAUAAAAGAUUUGCAUUUUGCAUUGAAAAGGUUCAAAUAAUUACAAAAGCAAGCAUAGUCCGUCUCUGGGAAGCAGAAUUUACCUACGAGUCAGCAUGAGCAAGUUACAAAGACUGUAAAAUACUUUAUAUUGUGAAAGGCCUUAAAUGUGCAUUUGAAAUUCUUGGCUGCCAUUACAAUUUAAACUAACAGUUGAAAUGAUGCAACUUGCACAAGAAAUUACAAAGAAUUCCCUGUGCUAUUCAAGGGAGCAGAUUUCCAGAUGAGUGGGUCGGUAACCCCAGUUUUUUUUUUUUUUUUUUUUUUUUUACAGUGAGAUGUUUGCAUAGGAGUCACAGAAUUAGCAACUGUUUUUCAGAGAGAUACAUUUUUGCUUGAUUGUUGCUUGAAUUACUUACUGGUUUUAUGAAGAUAUUUCCAAAAUUUAAGAGCAUUAAUGCGUUUGCCAUGUAAUUUCCGGCUGCCAUGUUUGAUUGGUAUAACAACAGGGCCUUGGAUGCUUGAUUAAAAUCUCGGUUCUUGUGAAGCGAACGAAGUACUUUUCCUUUAAAACAUUUAUACAGAAAUUCCACCUUUAAGUAGCGGUCAGAGGUCAGGCUCAGCCACAUCUGUACCUGAGAGGGUGUCAGUAUCCGGCUCAAGGACUCCUCAGGACUAAUAACCCCUCAUGUGAUGUCCUGAGGGAAAUAACGCCAAAGAGAAGGGGAGCAGGAUGCAGCUUCUGGAACUGACUGUGAAAUUAAUGGGAGGCACGUUAUUCCAGCAUGCUGCCUAACCAGUGUGAAAAACAGAUAGUGACAGCGAUAACAAAGCAGACCCUCUCCUUGUGUCUCCAUGGGCCAACCAUCCAGCAGCUAUUUGUCACAGCAGAUGUUUCAGAGAACCAUGACCUCCAACUGAGGUUGCUGGGGAAUAGGAGCUUGGCACCAGUUCUGAUUGGAAACUGCAGAGCAGAGGGGGCACGGUCAAGAUUUCGAGGCUGGAACUGAUGAUGAGUCAAUUUCCUUGGAUUUGAUUCAGCUGUUUCUCCAUCUGGCAUUAGAGCACCUGGGGGUGAGGACUAUUCACCAUCUCAGUGUGACAGGCAUGCUCUCAGCCAGAUCAGAAGCCCUGAUAGCCACCAAUAGAGAGCCAGAAGAAAGACCCUGUCUCCUCCUGACAACCAUCUCCUACCACUCAUCACUUCUAU